rnacentral:tRNA from 1 species
GCCUCCGUGGCCUAAUGGAUAAGGCAUCGGCCUCCUAAGCCGGGGAUUGCGGGUUCGAAUCCCGCCGGAGGUU